rnacentral:rRNA from 1 species
AGCGAACGCUGGCGGCAGGCCUAACACAUGCAAGUCGAACGGACCCUUCGGGGUUAGUGGCGGACGGGUGAGUAACACGUGGGAACGUGCCUUUAGGUUCGGAAUAGCUCCUGGAAACGGGUGGUAAUGCCGAAUGUGCCCUUCGGGGGAAAGAUUUAUCGCCUUUAGAGCGGCCCGCGUCUGAUUAGCUUGUUGGUGGGGUAAUGGCCCACCAAGGCUACGAUCAGUAGCUGGUCUGAGAGGAUGACCAGCCACAUUGGGACUGAGACACGGCCCAAACUCCUACGGGAGGCAGCAGUGGGGAAUCUUGCGCAAUGGGCGAAAGCCUGACGCAGCCAUGCCGCGUGUAUGAUGAAGGUCUUAGGAUUGUAAAAUACUUUCACCGGUGAAGAUAAUGACUGUAGCCGGAGAAGAAGCCCCGGCUAACUUCGUGCCAGCAGCCGCGGUAAUACGAAGGGGGCUAGCGUUGCUCGGAAUUACUGGGCGUAAAGGGAGCGUAGGCGGACAUUUAAGUCGA